rnacentral:rRNA from 1 species
AGGACGAACGCUGGCGGCGUGCUUAACACAUGCAAGUCGAGCGGUAAGGCCUUUCGGGGUACACGAGCGGCGAACGGGUGAGUAACACGUGGGUGAUCUGCCCUGCACUUCGGGAUAAGCCUGGGAAACUGGGUCUAAUACCGGAUAUGACCUCCUAUCGCAUGGUGGGUGGUAGGAAAGAUUUAUCGGUGCAGGAUGGGGCCCGCGGCCUAUCAGCUUGGUUGGGUGGGUAAUGGCCUACCAAGGCGACGGACGGGUAGCCGACCUGAGAGGGUCGACCGGCCACGACGUGGGACUGGACGACACCGGCCCAGACCUCCGUACGGGAGGCAGCGAGGUAGGGAUA